UCUCCUGUGGCAUUUCUGGCCCUUGAAGGUGGGAAGGGAGUAACUGCUACUGCCUCAACUAUCGUGCAGGUCAGUCAGACUUCUGCACUCGCUAGGCAGGGACCUUCUGGGCAGCUCUAGUUAGGAGAGCAAAGGUGACCGCUGUGAGCAGCUCAGCCCCUCCUCUGGGCUGUUCUUGCCGGAGUUUGGGGCAGAAGGCACAGAUCCUGGCCAGUCAUCUUCACAAUAGAACUCUUUGCUUGAAUUCAAGCAAACUAAGGCUAUUCUUAGAAACCCUGUAGGGCCAGCAGAGGACUAUUUUAACUCAGAUGCAGAUGUGCCUGGGAAAUCAGCUUCGUAAGUCCUUGCCUUAGUGCAUCCUCACCUAGAAAUGAGUGAAAAAGCUCAACAAGACAGUGCACUAUGAGAUGGUAUGUCACCACAACCUGGGGCUGCCUCGGGGCCGGUGUGUUAAGUCACUUCACCAGGAGGUGGCAGCGGCCACCAUCAGCUUGAAAGUGCUGGAAGAGGCAUCCCAAAGCAAGGGGAACAGCUGGUCUCUGGGACUUCACCCGACUGAUAUGAUAGCCCUUCAUCCUGACAUGGCCACAUGGGUCCUCACAGGCCAUGGACUACAAAGUAACACACCAGUUACUUGGUUUUGCUGGAAGCCAUCAUUUGAAAGUAUUUUCCAUUUUCUUGAAUGGAACUUCAAAAUCUACAUUCUCCACUCUAAUUUCAUAUCCGAAUCUUCAAAAUUGCACCGGGUUCAUGCCUUUACACAAGUGAGCCCAGCUCCCCCUCGUGCCUGACUUGACGUGUACCAGAAAGCAGACGUCCUCAACAGCCAGUGCUGCUACGUGUGGCAGCUGGCGAGGUGGCAGCUCUGGGUGUGAAGCUGUGAAGCCCUGUCCUGAGACCAACAGCCAGGCUGACGGUGACUUAUGCUGGUGCUGCCUAGGCCGCGGGGUUCUUCCCGUCCGAUGGGAGUCACUGUCUCCCCAGGAGUUCCCAGGCAGCCUUCCUCUGCCCACAUCUAGGGGAUCAUAUGUCUUAGGCGUGCUAUGCCCUUGGAUCUUCCACAGAAGGGAACCCUAUUUUAUUGAAUGAGUUGGGUUCCAAGUCCAAAUGAAGCACAAAUUAAAAACUGCAUUUAGUCAAAAUUACCCUGAAAAAACUCCCUUGUCCAACGCAGUUGUUUCUUCAGCAAUGCUUUUGGCUAGAAUCAACACCUCAGGAUAAAAAUCCUAAGUUAUCUCCCACCAAACAGAUUCUGAUUGGCAGUGAGGAGGUCAUUGAUUAAAAUUAAAUCAUCAGCUUUUAAUUUUUAAGUCUGUUUUUGUUUACUAGACUUUUCUUUUCACUCAAAAUAGGUCCCAGGCAUGAAAUGGUUGGAAACCAAAGACUAGCCCAUCACAGGGAGACCAAAAAUGGAAUACAGUAUUUUAACCAAAACUGUACCUAACAUCCCCCAAUGUGCCAUCUCACAUACGUCAAGUGAUCAAUAAAAGUUUGGUGAAUGAUUGAACGGAUGACUUCAUGAAUGAUGAGAAAGGCUGUGAGGGGUGACUUGCUGACCUAGUGAGAGCAGAGGAAAACUGAGGGGUGAAGCACUGGGCGUCAUCCCUAGUCAAGCACUCCCAUCCCAUGGUCCAAAGCCUUCACUUGUCAACAUUCUUCAGGUAUGUCCUGAGGACCUACUGCGUGGCAUCAUGGUUUUCUGUGGCCUUCUGGACACAUGCUCUUGAAAUUGCCACCACACUGGACAUAGUACGAUAAAGCGGCCUUGUUUAAUUCCCUGCCAGAUGUGGACUUCUCAGAAUAGAAGACAUAUCUUAAUCAUGGCUCUAGCCUCAGUUCCAAGGAGAGUGCACGGCACACGUAAGUGCGCAGUACUACCUAAACGAAAGAAGUUCAGAACACUCAGCAUCUCAUCCUAUAAGAGCAUUUAAUGAAAUUUCCUCCUGCAUAUCCCAUCCAUUCUCCUCUUUCUGGGUCAUGCAUCCCAUCAUCAGAUAAUCCCUGGGACUAGGAUAAUUCUCAGGAAGCUGCCCUUAACUUGCCUUUUAGAAUGUUCUUUGAUACCUAGAUAUUUUGCCUUAGAAAGGAACAAAGCUUAGAUACAAAUGUGGCUAUCCUCUCUAGCACGUCCAAAUUUCCAACUAGCUCUUUCAUGAAAUAUUUUCUAGCUUGGCCAAAGCCCUUGUUUUCAAGAAAUAUUUCCCACCAUGACUGACUAUCACACUGGAUACCACUUUGGGAAUUCCCAAACAGGGAGGUACACCCUGAGGGCCCAUGACAAGAGAGGCCGAGGGAUGAGUUAGUUGUACUUAUUGAAACUGAGGAAUGUUUCUGUUGUUGACAGCUGGCGCAUCUACCUCCUGCCUACCAGCCCUAAUGGCUCAGCGUGAUCACCCCAAACACAAAGCCCUGGGUAGUUGAGAAUGGGCAGCUUUUUCCGGAGCCCCACAUGAUCAAAGCAUCAAAA